rnacentral:pre_miRNA from 1 species
AUCAUGUGGGAGUCUUGUUAAAAUGCAGAUUCUGUUUCAGUAAAUCUGAGAAGGGCCAUGAGAUUCUGCAUUUCUGGCAAGUUCUCAGGUGAUGCUCA